rnacentral:tRNA from 1 species
GCUUUCGUGGUGUAAAUGGAAUCACAUCCGGCUCGUAAUCGGAAGGUCCGUAGUUUUAAUUCCGGCGAGAGUA